rnacentral:lncRNA from 1 species
AACAGCGAGAGCACAACCAGUGCUAAACAACCAAGAGCAAACAUCACGAGUAAAGUAUAUACAAGUGAAUAAAAGAGAGAUACUUAUCUAUUACAACCAUUCAAACUUUAAUACAUUGAUUACAUUUAAACUUCCCAAAAUAUAAACAUAGAGUUUACAAUCUUCCAAAAUCUCUCACACCUAUACAUCAUCUACUCUCAAGCAUGUAGGGUAACUACUAAUGCAAUAGGAAGCAUCUACAAUCUCUAGGGCGCUAAGCCCUUGCCACGAUCCUCGCCGGGAGUACUCGAGCUCGGCUGUCACACCCCGAGACCGUCACCCAUUUGGUCCGGUUCGGGCGCGUCGAACAGACGCCGAAUGGACAGCACCUCCCCUAUCCGCCCAAGGCUCAAGCACGGGAUCAUGUACAAGAAUUCGCCCAGGAACAAUUCAAUACAUACAUGAUCCAUACAACGACAAUAGAAGCAUCACAAGUGCUUAACAACAAGAGCAAGUAACACAUGUACAUAUACAAGUGCAUAAAGAGAGAAUUCUAUCUAUUACAUCACGAUUUGUCCAUUAUACAAUUGAUUUACAUUUUUUUCAUCCAAAAUAUAAGUAUAAGUUCAUUCACAUCUCUCCAAAAUGCAUCUCACAACCUAUACAUCAUCUACUCCUAU